GAUUCAGAGUGCAUUCCCGGUCACCCACAUCCUGAAGACGUGUCAGGAAAACCGCAAGCUUAAGCUGUCACAGAGCCUCCUGAGACAGAUCCACCAAUUUCACUCAACAGGCUGGAGCCAACUGGCCUGAACAAGUCACAGUUCUGAAAAGCAGGCUCUCUCCCUGACUGAAUGCGAGGGCAGCUUUGAGUGGAGAGGGAGCCUGUCCGAGCGCGGUGGGAGCCAUAACGUCCAGCUGUCCAACUGCCACCGCCAGUGCAAGUCAUGACCCGAGCACACUGCAGGGAAGAUUGCCUCUCGUGACGUCAGCCCAAGGAGGAAAUGACCUUGAAGGAAACAGAACCCUGAUUAGUUGCAACGAAAGUGCUCAUUUCCAUUUUCCCUUUCCGAGAACGGCUGUGUUAUAUAGUCAAUGAAAUUAGUGUGCAUUGUUUUUGCCUGUUUCAACAACAAACAGAAGAGACAGGAUAAUGUGGAAGAUGUUAAAUGACUAAGUGAACUUUGGUUAGAACAACUUCAUAUUGGAGAUACUUCAUGAAAACUGAAAUUUUAUUAGCACAUUGUCAUUCAAAUUUCAAUAACAGUCAUUUUUGUUUGUU
rnacentral:lncRNA from 1 species